AUGGUUAAUUAUUCUCAAUGGCACACCGAAAUAUCUACUAGUAAAAAAGUGCAUGCUAUAGAAGAGAUUAAUGUUUUGAGUGGAAAGAUGGAUGAACUUAUGAAAUUGUCUGGUACUAAGAGUGCUCCUAUUGAUCCUAAUGAUAUGCCUUUGUCUACUUUGAUUGAGAAUAAUAAUGAAUCUAUGGAUGUGAAUUUUCUUGGUAGGAAUAAUUUUGGUAACAACGCUUAUAGAGGAAGCUUUAAUCCUAGGCCGUUUCCUAGUAACUCCUCUAAUAAUUAUGGUAAUUCCUACAACCACUCUUAUGGAAAUUUUAAUAAGAUGCCCUCUGAUUUUGAGAAUAGUGUUAAUGAAUUUAUGAUCUCUCAAAAGAAUUUCAAUGCUUUGCUUGAAUAA
rnacentral:rRNA from 1 species